GAUGAACGCUAGCUACAGGCUUAACACAUGCAAGUCGAGGGGCAGCAUGGUCUUAGCUUGCUAAGGCUGAUGGCGACCGGCGCACGGGUGAGUAACACGUAUCCAACCUGCCGUCUACUCUUGGCCAGCCUUCUGAAAGGAAGAUUAAUCCAGGAUGGGAUCAUGAGUUCACAUGUCCGCAUGAUUAAAGGUAUUUUCCGGUAGACGAUGGGGAUGCGUUCCAUUAGAUAGUAGGCGGGGUAACGGCCCACCUAGUCAACGAUGGAUAGGGGUUCUGAGAGGAAGGUCCCCCACAUUGGAACUGAGACACGGUCCAAACUCCUACGGGAGGCAGCAGUGAGGAAUAUUGGUCAAUGGGCGAUGGCCUGAACCAGCCAAGUAGCGUGAAGGAUGACUGCCCUAUGGGUUGUAAACUUCUUUUAUAAAGGAAUAAAGUCGGGUAUGCAUACCCG
rnacentral:rRNA from 1 species